GCCAGCUGAACUUGAAGGAAAUGACUCAUUGUGAACAGCUGAGUUUCCUAGAUAGCUAAGGGCUUUCUUCCCUAUCACCCAUUUCCACUCCUUCCUCCUCUCUAUCCCCCUUCCUCUCCUCUGUUUCCCUCGAUUACUUUUAAACUCUUUGGAAUAGUCAUAUAUCUGGCUACCUCUAAAUGUGAGCUAGAGCCUCCACCCUAUCCACAGGGCUACAGCCACGGCCCAAGUUCCCUAGCAGAGCACACGGCAUGAGUCAUAGCAAGCUGGUUGGUAGGAAGGGGAGAAAAAUUGGAUCUACAUUUUUCUAGAGCACAAGGGAGGCACCAAGCUUUCAGUAUUGCCUUCAAAUCCAGCACAAUAUAUUGCAAAGUUUCUUGCCUUGGAAAUAAAAGAGCUGAAUGUAUGACAACACAAGAAUAUCAUGAUAAAUCUAAUUAUAGGGGCACCUGUGUAGGUCAGUGAUUGAGUGUCUGCCUUUGGCUCAGGGUAUGAUCCUGGGGUCCUGGGAUCAAGUCCCACCUCAGGCUACCUGCAGGGAGCCUGCUUCUCCCUCUGCCUGUGUCUGUGCCUCUCUCUGUGUGCCUCUCAUGAAUAAAUAAAUAAUUUUUAAAAAUAAAAUAAAAUAAACCUAAUUAUAGCUAAUAUAUAUUUAGUGCUUACCACGUGCCAACACUGUGCUAAUUGCUUUGCAUAUAUGCAUUCUUUGAUCAAUAUCAAGGCACUCAGUCAUGGUGCAGUGGUGUGAAACAGCAACGUUUGAGAGACUAUUGAAGAAUGGGGACAUUUGCCUCUAAACUUUUUAAUUCUUGGAUUUGUUUUCCUUUUUCUGAGUCUCCCAUUGCUAUUAGGUUGCUAAAUAUUAUUGUUCUGGAUUUCUGAUUUGCUUUCUUCAAUCUCCUACAAAUUUAGAAGGAUAAGCCAAUCAUGCUGGAAUUCUAUCCAGUAAAAGGUGCCAGAACCUUUAUUUUAACUUUUUAUGCUGAAAUAAUUUCCAACUUACAGAAAAGUUACAAGAACAGUGCAAGGAACUUCCAUAUACUUUUCACCAACCUUUCACUGACUCUGGCUGGAAGGAUCUCAGUGAGUUCACGGGGUACAAUUUCUCAGGAUCACUAGUAAAGAAUGUCGUCAUUCUAAGUAUUGCUUAGUCUGUCAUACAUUUAAUCUCCUAAUUUUUCUUCCUGCCUUAAGUGAUUAAGAUUUAGCUAAAUUAAUUUUGCUACCUAUUUUGAACCUGAAAUCAGAAGUAUGGAAAGCCCUAGAGGUAUUAAAGCCAUUGACCUGAUGACCUACAGAAGUUAAACUAUUUCAGACUGAAGAAAAUUAAUCCUGGCUUGUAGCUACACUAUUUAUUUAUUCAUUACAAGUAUUUAUUGCUAGGAACAUUUUGUAAUGGAUAUAACACUGUCAGAAGGCCUUUCUAUCUACUCUUGUCCUCUAAUAUGGAAGCACAUCUGACUUCAUCAAGGAUGGAGGGUAUUCUGAUAAAGCAAAAAAUAGAGAGAAAUUAAAAGUUUUCUUAAAUAUUUCUUUCUGCAGCCAAAUUAUUCAUCACUGAAGUUUUUGUUUUGUUUUGUUUUUAGUGAUCUUAUUUUCUAAUGCCUGGAAUCUAUGUUGCUAAA
rnacentral:lncRNA from 12 species